CAUAAACUGUGAUCUUGAUGUAAAUAAGGUUUAUUGGAUUUUACUGAAAACAGCAGAUCCUCCAACAGUCAUUCUACGAACAACAUCAGCUACAACAUCACCAUUUUACUUGAAUAAUAAUUUCAGAAAUAAAUAUUCCGUGCAGUUUAAACAUGGUCUGGUUAUUAAUAAUGUGACUGCUGAUGAAUUAGGAGUUUAUUACUGUAUGAACACAGAAACACCUCCAAAACUCAGCAACAGCACCAGAAUAUACUUCAACGAAUCAGCUCAACUAACUGAGUGUCACAAUCAUACAGUGCUGGAGUUUAUUAAUCAGAAUCAAACACAAUAUCAGAUUAUUAUCAUCAUAUCUGCUCUGAUGAACGGACUUCUGCUCAUUCUGCUGAUUGUUUGUGCCAUUGGAAAAACCCAGCAGUUGGAAAAACACUUGUAUAAUGCUGAUGUUCAGUGGACACGAGUUGUAUCUAAAUUCCAAGACUUAAACUGAUUAACAUCAAAAUAAGGUACAUUUAUGUGAAACCCUCAGAAACCAGGCAUUCUGCGAAUAUAUAAAAUGCUUUAAAAUAUCAUACAGUUUAUUGUGUGCUUAAUGUAGCCUACCUUAUGUCAAGAAUAAAUUACCUUACAUUGUAGCAUGUAGGAGUAUUAUAGACUGAGGAUUUUUGUCAUUCUUUACAGUACUGUAUGUUUUGUUGUUGUUGUUUUAGACUAAUUUAGAAAGUGGAUUUGUGUAUAGACCAGGAAAAAGAUAGAGUUUAUGACUGUGUAAUCAGACACAUAUUAAAUGUCAUUAUCACAUUUAUUGGUAAAUAGUCAUUCAGUUAUUAGGUCUGGU